AAUAAUUAUGCUUUUUUCCCCUGGGUUUUGAUGUUAUAAAAACAGCUGUGAUAAGGUACCUUUGCUGAGCACGUGCGCUGUGCCAGUCAUUAAUCCUCUAAUUUCACAGCCCCCUGCCCCCUCCCGGGCCCCCUGAGGUUGUCACUAGGAGAGGCCCACCGCGCACACUAGGAAACCGAAUCUCCCCGAGGCUGAAUACGUUGCCAGAGGUCAAGGAGCUGGUAAACGCAGAAUAAGGAUUAUGCCAAAACCCUUUAGGACACUUUCAUAGCUCUUUUUUUACCCCCUUUGGCUGGAUGCAUGGAUGAAUGAAAGGUCAUCCUUUUCUGUAACUGAAUAAGCCUCCAGGAGGUACCUACCCAUGGCUGAGUCCAGAAAACCUCAAGCUGAAAGGCUAAGAUGCAAGAGCUUAGGUUCCCGGAAGAACGGAACAAACACAGAGACUCCGCGUGUAGACAAAGGAUUCAGAGCGGAGUAAGGAAGAGAAAGCAGGUUUGGGGCCAUCUUCUCGGAAGUCAUGCGCGCUGAAUCUUACAGCGUGGCGGAAGGCACGGGUCAGAGCGCCAGCGCGCACUAGUCAGGAAGCCUGGUGGGCGAUGUUUGAAAAGCACCCAAUACGUAGAUCUUUUUUUUUUUCCUGGAUCGUUUGUAGGUAAGUUCUGUACCCCAUCGCCCCUUCUUUCCUAAGAGUAGAGAUAUUAUACGUAACCACAGUGCACUCACCAAAUUUGUACAUUGAUACAAAAUAUGUGUGUCUCCUCUUGGUCAGUAUUCCGUCCCUGCCGGUUGAUCUGGCCACGUCCUUUAUUGCAUUUCUUUCCCCACCAUCACAAGAUCCCCCCAGGGUCAGGUUAGGGCGUCUCAGAACAUCCGGGUAUUCAAACAUUACCCUUCAGUGAGAAGGGAUGAAAAUAAACGUCCGCUAGUGUCAUGUCGACAUGGAUCCGAGAAUUCCUCGGCCAGGCCCUCAUUCCCCACAUUUCCCGGCUCUGCCGAGACACCCGUGCAGGCCUGUCUCCCUUCUGGGCAGGGGCCACCCAGCACCAUGUGAUCCAAGGUCACGGACGUGUCACUCUGCUGGUGGCUGUGGCUGCAGCUGUGCCCUGUGCCGUGAUCCGGGCCAGACAGUCCUGUGGGCGGACUGCACCUUGGAGCCAUCGCGGGCUGCAGGCUCCAAAUGUCCCCUGGCCACGUGCUCCUGCCCAUGGGGAUGGAAGCCGCUGCGCAGGACCACCACGCGGUGUGUGGGUGGCCCUGGAGAAGCCGCCCCCUUACCAGGGACAAGGCUGUGUGUCUUGGUGCUCAAAAGCUUCACCAAGGGAAAUGUACUGUUUACCCUGAGAUGUCAGGACCAAAAGCAAGAUUUCGUGAUAGUGAGGAAUUCAGGGAUCCAAAUACGAGCGAGAAGGCCCUUUCAGCUGACCGUAGAGAAUCUGAUAAACUCUCAAGAUGAUUAGUAACGACUGAUUGUCACCACGUGCUGCUCAGGGUGUCACCGCAGCAGGGGGAGUGCCUGGCACCGAGUGAGCAGGUACUCUGUGAGAUUAGUCAGGCCUGGGAAUUCGUAUCACGCCAAUGAGUUUAUCAGCAGAGCAAGUGAACAGAGGAUGUGAAUGAAGGGCCCUGGGGCCCCGGCUCUGUCUCGGACCUUGUAACACCCUUGAUGAAGGAGAAGGGAGAAGGCGAAGGGGUCCCCGGACAGCCUGAACCCGCUCCUGCGGGUGAGGCCAGACCUGCAGCCCCCGUGCACAGGAGGGCAUGCCUGGAAGGCAGUGGUGAGCAGCACUGGGGGCGGGGAUUGAUCUGUGGUCCUAACACAAUCGCAAGAUGCCCUGGGCCUACCCUGCCGUCCUCCGGAGUUCAUGCCUCUGGGCUCAAUCUGCAUUUUUUAAGAUGCCCCCCGACAAUUCCCAUGUGCACCGGUAUUCCAAACGGGGUGAUUCUUUGAGUCUUCUAAACAGGGAAGUACGGGCUGCCCCCGGCAUACAAAGGUGGGGAGACUGGCAGCAUUCUGGGAGGGCCUCCCGGUGGCAGCAACACCUCAGCGGAGUCCUGGAGUAUCCAGGAUGGUCAGUUUCACCAAGAGGGGGCCAAAGAAGGCCUGACAGAUUGAGAGAGACUUCAGGGCUCACCGAAGCCAAGAAAGAAUUUACCACGUGGCUAUAGUUCAUCGUCGCAUGCUGGGGCCAGAGGACAGGGAGGGGGCUCAGCAGGCUUGAUAAAAGGCCAGGAUGGAACCGUAGAAGGGACUUCUCUCACGUUCAGGCAUUUCUACAUUAUCCCAAGGGAGAUGGGGAGGUCCGAUCUGUCGGUCACGGGGCCUACGGACACGAUUUACACCCUGCCGAGAGGCGUUGCCUGUGGUCCCCCAAGAUCCCCAUGUUGCCUUGGUCCCAACACAGCGAUUGAUUUGCUGGGGGAUGACCCCUGGCCAAGGUGCGGUGCGUUUGCCAGAGGGCGGAAGGAUGGGCCAGUCAGACGCCUGCACCUGGGCUGGGGACAGGGUCUGGUCGAGGAGGCCAGGCGAGGCCCAGCGUGAGAGCAAAAGUCAGCCCCAGACAGGUGCCCGUGUGUCCGUGAGCCUGGGUUACACAGUCCGUUUCCAGUUUCCACUGAAAUCCAUUUCUCCUACGAUGUCUUCACGUCAACUCGCCUUUUCCCGAGGAAGCUGGAAUCAGAAAGGCUUCACCGCCAGGAGCUCACUGGGGGACCCUUUUUCUGUCUGGCUUACGGAGGUCAGGAAAAUUCACCUUGUGUGGCGGUUGGUGAAGGUGUGCAGCUGCGUUGCCAUGACAUCGGCGAGGAUGGGGAAGACUCCCCUCUUCGGAAAGGUUCCCUCAGGCCCCCUCCCCACCCCAGCAGCCGCUGCCGGGUUUUCUGUCCCAGUGAUUUGCCUUUUCGAGGUGAUGGCGCGAAUGGAACCGCACAACGUGGGGCACUUUCUGUCCAACCUCUUAACACUCGGCGUAAUGCAUUCGAGGUUCACCCGUGUUGUUCCCUGAAUCAGUGGCUUGUCCCUUUUUCACGUGAUGGCCUCAAUUUGUACAUCCGUUCACUGGCUGAUGGAAAUUCGGGCCAGUCUCAGUUUGAGACAAGUAUGAAUAAAAGAGCUUCACGGGAUUUUUGUUUUCUUCUGGGAACAUAAGUUUUCAUUCGUCCUGGGUAAGUUCACGAGGAGUGAGAUGGACGGUCAGGUCGUCGCUCGAAAUGCGUUUCGCUUUGUAAGAAAUUCGCCAGACCUGUGCCAGUCCCAUCUGCUCCCAAAACGGACGUGGGUUCCAGUUCUGCGUCUUGAUCAACACUUGGUGUUGUCAGAUUUACUAAUUUUAGCCGACCUGGCUGGUGUCCCCUGUCCCACUGGGUGACCUGAAGGAGUUGGAACAGCCAAGGUGUGUUACAGAAAACUCGACCUGGCUUCACCGUGGAGCCAGGCGACCAGCUGGGGACUUCUGAUGGGGACAAUGCCACUGAGGAUUCCGUGAUUGGCGCGACUUGCAUGAUGUGUGAGGAGCUCAGCCAGUGGAGGUUUUCAAGGCAGCCUCUCAACGUCGGUGUUUAAAUGGUUAAAACCAGAACCUGCUUCAGUUCGUCAGCGCACGUUCCUUAAAAGGAUUACUCUGCCUGCAAAUGGUGUGAGACCGCGCAGAGAGCAGACCAGCUGGUCCUGGACAACUUGAGGAAGAUCUCGCAGGCAGCCCUUGCGGUGACCGGAAGCCCA